CUAGCUGAUAAAUCUUUGUAAAUAAUGUCAUUGUAUCCUGUGGAGGAGUGGCGCGGCUGUUACCGGCCUGACUUCGCCUACUCAAUCCUGCGACUACUUAAAAUGACUCACAUCCCACUUCCGUACAACUAAGUCGAGCCUCACAAGAUGGACGCCACAGACACUGCAGUCAGUAUAACAAACAAA